rnacentral:rRNA from 1 species
AUGCAAUCUUUGCUCCGGAAUGUCUGCCGAGCCGGAAACCGCGGGGCUGCGGCGAGGCUCCUGGAAUUUGCUGCUCCUGUAGCCACUCAGCCGGGGGCUACCCCGCCAUCCUCGGCCAUCAAAUACCUCAGGCCUUGCGGGUUCACUCCUCCAACUGGGGUAGGAUUCUUGUCCUCUUUUGUCUCUUCUUCGAAUUCGUCCAGGUCAUGUCAUCUGGAUCAAUUUCUUUGCGUGCAGAAUUGGUUCAUUUCCCGUGAUGGUGUUCCUGCCUCCUCUGGUUUCUGCGCAAAGGUUCUCAUGACGAGGAGUUUGUCGACGGUGGGAACUGUUGAGGUUGCCUCGGACGAGGACGAUUCCAGCUCCCCUGCGGUUGAGCACCCCCCACGCAUCAAGUUCAAGAGGCCCGACAAGACUGCCAGGCACAUUAUGAAUAUCUUGAACAAAGAGGCGGUUGAAAAGGUCCGUUCGGAGAGGGAGAUUCCUGAUGUGCAGCCUGGAUGCAUCAUUCAGAUGAGAUUGCAAGUUCCUGAGAACAAACGGCGAGAGUCUACAUUGAAAGGGAUUGUGAUAGCAAGGCGCAAUGCUGGGAUAAAUACAACCUUCAGAUUGCGUAGAUUAGUAGCUGGUGUGGGAGUCGAGUCCGUCUUUCCACUUUACUCACCAAACAUCAAAGAAAUGAAGAUCUUGGACAGGAAGAAAGUCAGGAGAGCUAAGCUGUAUUACCUGAGAGACAGGAUGAAUGCACUUAAAAAAUGA